rnacentral:lncRNA from 1 species
GACAAGUUCCUUGCACGACAUCUGCACGACGCCAUUAAAACACACUAAAUUUCCUUUUAUAAUUGUUAAUUAAUUUUUUAUUUUUUAAUUGCAAUCGAAAAUCUCGCACUUCUCCUUUUACUUUCACAACGCUAAAUACAUUGUAGCUGUUGGAGAUUGAGAUCUACUACCACUUCUACAAGCUACAACAGUUCCAAACAACACUGCUCAUCACUCUCAUCUAAACAAUUUUUCUAUCCCUAUCGUUGUCCUCUCCGUUGUUGCCACCGGCGUUGUUGUUUCAGAUGUCAUGUUCUGUUCUGUUCUGAGUGUUCUUGGUUUGUAGUACUAAGUAGCUAUGUUUGUUACUGGAACAAAACAAGAACAAAAGAUUGUUGUUUGUGGAAUUGGUUUUGUG